rnacentral:rRNA from 1 species
AGAGUUUGAUCCUGGCUCAGAACGAACGCUGGCGGCGUGCUUAACACAUGCAAGUCGAACGCGAAAGUUUUCUUCGGAAAAUGAGUAGAGUGGCGCACGGGUGAGUAACGCGUAAAUAAUCUACCCUUGCAUCUGGAAUAACCCACCGAAAGGGGUGCUAAUACCGGAUACGUUCUUUUGAUCGCGAGAUCUUAAGAAGAAAGGGUGGCCUCUGAUAUAAGCUACUGUGCAGGGAGGAGUUUGCGUACCAUUAGCUAGUUGGUAGGGUAAUGGCCUACCAAGGCAACGAUGGUUAGCGGGUCUGAGAGGAUGAUCCGCCACACUGGAACUGGAACACGGACCAGACUCCUACGGGAGGCAGCAGUGAGGAAUAUUGCGCAAUGGGGGAAACCCUGACGCAGCGACGCCGCGUGGAUGAUGAAGGCCUUAGGGUCGUAAAAUCCUGUCAGAUGGAAAGAAAUGCUACUGGUUUAAUAUGCCUUUAGUUUGACGGUACCAUCAAAGGAAGCACCGGAUAACUCCGUGCCAGCAGCCGCGGUAAUACGGAGGGUGCAAGCGUUGUUCGGAAUUACUGGGCGUAAAGGGUGCGUAGGCGGCUAGUUAAGUUGAAAGUGAAAUCCCAAAGCUCAACUUUGGAAUUGCUUUCAAAACUGAUUAGCUAGAGUUCAAUAGGGGAUGAUGGAAUUCCUGGUGUAGAGGUGAAAUUCUUAGAUAUCAGGAGGAACACCGGUGGCGAAGGCGGUCAUCUGGAUUGUAUCUGACGCUGAGGCACGAAAGCGUGGGGAGCAAACAGGAUUAGAUACCCUGGUAGUCCACGCCGUAAACGAUGAGUGCUAGAUAUCGGGAUUUAUUUUCGGUGUUGCAGCUAACGCAUUAAGCACUCCGCCUGGGGAGUACGGUCGCAAGAUUAAAACUCAAAGGAAUUGACGGGGGCCCGCACAAGCGGUGGAGUAUGCGGUUUAAUUCGAUGCUACGCGAAAAACCUUACCAACCCUUGACAUGUUGAUCGCGGGGACCAGAGAUGGACCCCUUCAGUUCGGCUGGAUCAAACACAGGUGUUGCAUGGCUGUCGUCAGCUCGUGUCGUGAGAUGUUGGGUUAAGUCCUUCAACGAGCGCAACCCUCAUCCUUAUUUGCCAACAGGUUAUGCUGGGAACUCUAAGGAAACUGCCGGUGAUAAAUCGGAGGAAGGUGGGGACGACGUCAAGUCAUCAUGGCCCUUAUGGGUUGGGCUACACGCGUACUACAAUGGCGGUAACAAUAGGCAGCUAAGGAGCGAUCCCAAGCUAAUCCUUUAAAAAGCCGUCUCAGUUCGGAUUGCACUCUGCAACUCGAGUGCAUGAAGUUGGAAUCGCUAGUAAUCGUGGAUCAGAAUGUCACGGUGAAUACGUUCUCGGGCCUUGUACACACUGCCCGUCACGCCAUGGGAGUUGGUUUCGCUCAAAGCUGGUAAGCUAACCUUCGGGAGGCAGCCAUCUACAGUAGAGUCAAUGACUGGGGUUAAGUCGUAACAAGGUAACC